GCAAGUCGAGCGCGCCCUUCGGGGUGAGCGGCGGACGGGUGAGUAACGCGUGGGAACGUGCCCUUUGCUGCGGAAUAGCCACUGGAAACGGUGAGUAAUACCGCAUGAGCCCUUCGGGGGAAAGAUUUAUCGGCAAAGGAUCGGCCCGCGUUGGAUUAGGUAGUUGGUGGGGUAAUGGCCUACCAAGCCGACGAUCCAUAGCUGGUUUUAGAGGAUGAUCAGCCACACUGGGACUGAGACACGGCCCAGACUCCUACGGGAGGCAGCAGUGGGGAAUCUUAGACAAUGGGCGCAAGCCUGAUCUAGCCAUGCCGCGUGAGUGACGAAGGCCCUAGGGUCGUAAAGCUCUUUCGCCUGUGAUGAUAAUGACAGUAGCAGGUAAAGAAACCCCGGCUAACUCCGUGCCAGCAGCCGCGGUAAUACGGAGGGGGUUAGCGUUGUUCGGAAUUACUGGGCGUAAAGCGCGCGUAGGCGGAUUGGAAAGUUGGGGGUGAAAUCCCGGGGCUCAACCCCGGAACUGCCUCCAAAACUUCCAGUCUGGAGUUCGAGAGAGGUGAGUGGAAUUCCGAGUGUAGAGGUGAAAUUCGUAGAUAUUCGGAGGAACACCAGUGGCGAGGGCGGCUCACUGGCUCGAUACUGACGCUGAGGUGCGAAAGUGUGGGGAGCAAACAGGAUUAGAUACCCUGGUAGUCCACACCGUAAACGAUGAAUGCCAGUCGUCGGCAAGCAUGCUUGUCGGUGACACACCUAACGGAUUACGCAUUCCGCCUGGGGAGUACGGCCGCAAGGUUACAACUCAAAUGAAUUGACGGAA
rnacentral:rRNA from 1 species